UGGAGAGAGUGUAGGUUCUAAGUCUUUAGAGGAGUGGGUUCAACACUUGUAUGUAGCACUUUUUUAGUAUUUCUUUUUCUUUUAGUAUUUCAUUUUCUUUUCUUUCAGCAUUUUAUUUUUUAGUGUUUUAUUGUCUUUCAGCAUUUUGUUUCUUUUAAUAUUUCUUAUGUCCAUGUUUUUUUUUAAAUCCAUCAUGCAUUCGAAACCAUUUUUUUUAACUUAUAAAAAUCAUACUUUUCUCGAUUUAAUAUCGAGCCCUUUUUCACACCCUUGUAAGUCGAUUGCUUUUUUAAGCAUCGCCGCCAACCUCACAUAGCUUACUCUUGGGCUUUCUUACAAUGAGCCGGUUCUCUUGCACUUACACUCAUACUUUUGCAUUAUUUGUUGUUUGGGCCCGAUUUAAUUAUUCCAAUAUUUUGAAUCCCCAUUUGACAAAAUGUACCCCACUCCCCCGAUGUGUAAUAAUCUUGUACUAUUUUUUUUCUUUAUUGCUUGGUUG
rnacentral:lncRNA from 1 species